rnacentral:rRNA from 1 species
ACUCAAAGGAAUUGACGGGGGCCCGCACAAGCAGUGGAGUAUGUGGUUUAAUUCGACGCAACGCGAAGAACCUUACCAGGGCUUGACAUCGCUUGACCGCUCUAGAGAUAGAGCUUUCCCUUCGGGGACAAGUAGACAGGUGGUGCAUGGUUGUCGUCAGCUCGUGUCGUGAGAUGUUGGGUUAAGUCCCGCAACGAGCGCAACCCCUAUUGUCAGUUGCCAGCAUUCAGUUGGGCACUCUGGCGAGACUGCCGUUGACAAAACGGAGGAAGGUGGGGACGACGUCAAAUCAUCAUGCCCCUUAUGUCCUGGGCUACACACGUACUACAAUGGCAACAACAGAGGGCAGCCAAACCGCGAGGUUGAGCGAAUCCCAAAAUGUUGUCUCAGUUCAGAUUGCAGGCUGCAACUCGCCUGCAUGAAGUCGGAAUUGCUAGUAAUGGCAGGUCAGCAUACUGCCGUGAAUACGUUCCCGGGCCUUGUACACACCGCCCGU